rnacentral:rRNA from 1 species
GCUAUAAUGCAAGUCGAGCGAAUGGAUUAAGAGCUUGCUCUUAUGAAGUUAGCGGCGGACGGGUGAGUAACACGUGGGUAACCUGCCCAUAAGACUGGGAUAACUCCGGGAAACCGGGGCUAAUACCGGAUAACAUUUUGCGCCGCAUGGUGCGAAAUUGAAAGGCGGCUUCGGCUGUCACUUAUGGAUGGACCCGCGUCGCAUUAGCUAGUUGGUGAGGUAACGGCUCACCAAGGCAACGAUGCGUAGCCGACCUGAGAGGGUGAUCGGCCACACUGGGACUGAGACACGGCCCAGACUCCUACGGGAGGCAGCAGUAGGGAAUCUUCCGCAAUGGACGAAAGUCUGACGGAGCAACGCCGCGUGAGUGAUGAAGGCUUUCGGGUCGUAAAACUCUGUUGUUAGGGAAGAACAAGUGCUAGUUGAAUAAGCUGGCACGUUGACCGCACCUAU